UGAUAGUACGAACUUUAGCCGAAAGGACCUGGAAAGGCCUGCUAUAGUGGGUGAUAGCCCCGUAGGCGAAAGAGUUGGUACGGUACUAAGGAAGCGAGAAGUAGAGCGGGACACGUGGAAUCCUGUUCGAAGACGGGGGGACCAUCCUCCAAGGCUAAAUACUCGUGAUCGACCGAUAGUGAACCAGUACCGUGAGGGAAAGGGGAAAAGAACCCCGGGAGGGGAGUGAAAUAGAUCCUGAAACCGCAUACAUACAAACAGUAGGAGCCCGCAAGGGUGACUGCGUACCUUUUGCAUAAUGGGUCAGCGACUUACGUUCAAUGGCAAGCUUAACCGAGUAGGGGAGGCGCAGCGAAAGCGAGUCCGAACAGGGCGACAUGAGUCGUUGGGCGUAGACCCGAAACCAGAUGAUCUAUCCAUGGCCAGGCUGAAGGUGUGGUAACACACACUGGAGGGCCGAACCGACUAGUGUUGCAAAAUUAGCGGAUGAGCUGUGGAUAGGGGUGAAAGGCUAAACAAAUCUGGAGAUAGCUGGUUCUCCCCGAAAACUAUUGAGGUAGUGCCUCGUGUAUGGCUCCAGGGGGUAGAGCACUGUUAUGGCUAGGGGGACAUGGCGUCUUACCAAACCAUGGCAAACUCCGAAUACUUGGAAGUCUGAGCACGGGAGACAGAGCACCGGGUGCUAACGUCCGGACUCAAAAGGGAAACAACCCAGACCGCCGGCUAAGGUCCCUAAUAUUGACUAAGUGGAAAACGAAGUGGGAAGGCUAAGACAGUCAGGAAGUUGGCUUAGAAGCAGCCAUCCUUCAAAGAAAGCGUAAUAGCUCACUGGUCGAGUCCUUCUGCGCGGAAGAUGUAACGGGGCUAAGCUGUUAACCGAAGCCGCGGAUGCACUGGUUAUCCAGUGCGUGGUAGGGGAGCGUUCUGUAAGUCUGCGAAGGCGGUUCGAGAGGACUGCUGGAGAUAUCAGAAGUGCGAAUGCUGACAUGAGUAACGUUAAAGCGGGUGAAAAGCCCGCUCGCCGCAAGCCCAAGGUUUCCUGCUCUACGUUCAUCGGAGCAGGGUGAGUCGGCCCCUAAGGUCAGGCUGAGAAGCGUAGCUGAUGGGAAGCUGGUUAAUAUUCCAGCACCGAUUUCAAGUGCGAAGGGGGGACGGAGUCCUGAAGGUCAUCCGGGUGUUGGACAUCCCGGUUUACGAGCGUAGGAGGUUGACAGGCAAAUCCGUCAACGGAUCUCCAAGGCGAAGGAUCGAGGUUGAGAGAUCAACUGAAGUGACUGAAUGGGCUUCCAGGAAAAGCCUCUAAGCAUCAGCUUGGAAUUGACCGUACCGCAAACCGACACUGGUGGGCGAGCUGAAUAUGCUCAGGCGCUUGAGAGAACUCAGGAGAAGGAACUCGGCAAAUUGACACCGUAACUUCGGGAUAAGGUGUGCCUUUGUAGUGUGAAGGGAGAAACACCCCGAGCAUGAAGAGGCCUCAGAGAAUCGGUGGCUGCAACUGUUUACUAAAAACACAGCACUCUGCAAAGAUGAAAGUCGACGUAUAGGGUGUGAUGCCUGCCCGGUGCUGGAAGAUUAAUUGAUGGGGUGCAAGCUCCUGAUCGAAGUCCCAGUAAACGGCGGCCGUAACUAUAACGGUCCUAAGGUAGCGAAAUUCCUUGUC
rnacentral:rRNA from 1 species